GCCAACUUAAGAUAGGGGUUUGAGUGUUGGACUUUGACUCUGGAGACCAGGGUUCAAUUCCCUGCUUGGCC